AGAGUUUGAUCCUGGCUCAGGAUGAACGCUGGCGGCGUGCUUAACACAUGCAAGUCGAACGAUGAAGCCCUUCGGGGUGGAUUAGUGGCGAACGGGUGAGUAACACGUGGGCAAUCUGCCCUGCACUCUGGGACAAGCCCUGGAAACGGGGUCUAAUACCGGAUGACACCCCCUCUCGCAUGGGAGGGGGUUGAAAGCUCCGGCGGUGCAGGAUGAGCCCGCGGCCUAUCAGCUUGUUGGUGAGGUAGAAGCUCACCAAGGCGACGACGGGUAGCCGGCCUGAGAGGGCGACCGGCCACACUGGGACUGAGACACGGCCCAGACUCCUACGGGAGGCAGCAGUGGGGAAUAUUGCACAAUGGGCGAAAGCCUGAUGCAGCGACGCCGCGUGAGGGAUGACGGCCUUCGGGUUGUAAACCUCUUUCAGCAGGGAAGAAGCGAAAGUGACGGUACCUGCAGAAGAAGCGCCGGCUAACUACGUGCCAGCAGCCGCGGUAAUACGUAGGGCGCAAGCGUUGUCCGGAAUUAUUGGGCGUAAAGAGCUCGUAGGCGGCUUGUCACGUCGGUUGUGAAAGCCCGGGGCUUAACCCCGGGUCUGCAGUCGAUACGGGCAGGCUAGAGUGUGGUAGGGGAGAUCGGAAUUCCUGGUGUAGCGGUGAAAUGCGCAGAUAUCAGGAGGAACACCGGUGGCGAAGGCGGAUCUCUGGGCCAUUACUGACGCUGAGGAGCGAAAGCGUGGGGAGCGAACAGGAUUAGAUACCCUGGUAGUCCACGCCGUAAACGGUGGGAACUAGGUGUUGGCGACAUUCCACGUCGUCGGUGCCGCAGCUAACGCAUUAAGUUCCCCGCCUGGGGAGUACGGCCGCAAGGCUAAAACUCAAAGGAAUUGACGG
rnacentral:rRNA from 1 species